GGUUGUAUAGUGUAGCGGUUAUCACGUCGGAUUCUGAUCAGAAUUACCAUUCCGUAGACCCCGGUUCGAUUCCGGGUACGACCU
rfam:Tilletia walkeri strain DAOM 236422 scaffold_213, whole genome shotgun sequence.